AUUGAACGCUGGCGGCAGGCCUAACACAUGCAAGUCGGGCGAGCGGCGGACGGGUGAGUAAUGUAUGGGGAUCUGCCUGAUGGAGGGGGAUAACUACUGGAAACGGGCGCUAAUACCGCAUACUAUCAGAUGAGCCUAGGUCGGAUUAGCUAGUUGGUGGGGUAAAGGCCUACCAAGGCGACGAUCCGUAACUGGUCUGAGAGGAUGAUCAGUCACACUGGAACUGAGACACGGUCCAGACUCCUACGGGAGGCAGCAGUGGGGAAUAUUGGACAAUGGGCGAAAGCCUGAUGCAGCCAUGCCGUGUGUAUGAAGAAGGCCUUCGGGUUGUAAAGUACUUUCAGCGAGGAGGCGUUACUCGCAGAAGAAGCACCGGCUAACUCCGUGCCAGCAGCCGCGGUAAUUC
rnacentral:rRNA from 1 species